rnacentral:rRNA from 1 species
GGGGAAUAUUGCACAAUGGGCGAAAGCCUGAUGCAGCAACGCCGCGUGAGUGAUGAAGGCCUUCGGGUUGUAAAGCUCUGUCUUCUGGGACGAUAAUGACGGUACCGGGAGAAGAAGCUGCGGCUAACUACGUGCCAGCAGCCGCGGUAAUACGUAGGCAGCAAGCGUUGUUCGGAGUUACUGGGCGUAAAGAGUGCGUAGGCGGUUUUCUAAGUUCGGUGUGAAAUCUCCCGGCUUAACUGGGAGGGUGCGCCGAAGACUGGGAAGCUGGAGUGUGGGAAAGGCAGGCGGAAUUCCUGGUGUAGCGGUGAAAUGCGUAGAUAUCAGGAGGAACACCGGCGGUGUAGACGGCUUGCUAGACCAUAACUGACGCUGAGGCACGAAAGCGUGGGUAGCAAACA